CCAAUAGCGUAUAUUAAAGUUGUUGCAGUUAAAAAGCUCGUAGUUGAAUUUCGGGAUCAGUGGGUCGGUCGUGCCACUGGUAUGCACUGGCUCUACUGGUUCCUCCUUCUUGAAGAACUGUAAUGCCAUUAAUUUGGUGUUGCAGGGAAACAGGACUGUUACUUUGAAAAAAUUAGAGUGUUUAAAGCAGGCAAUCGCUUGAAUACAUUAGCAUGGAAUAAUGAAAUAGGACGAUCGAUCCUAUUUUGUUGGUUUCUAGGAUUGACGUAAUGAUUAAUAGGGAUAGUUGGGGGCAUUAGUAUUCAAUUGUCAGAGGUGAAAUUCUUGGAUUUAUUGAAGACUAACUACUGCGAAAGCAUUUGCCAAGGAUGUUUUCAUUAAUCAAGAACGAAAGUUAGGGGAUCGAAGACGAUCAGAUACCGUCGUAGUCUUAACCAUAAACUAUGCCGACUAGGGAUCGGAUGAUGUUAAUUUUUUAAUGACUCAUUCGGCGCCUUACG
rnacentral:rRNA from 1 species